rnacentral:rRNA from 1 species
UACAGAGGGGGCAAGCGUUGCUCGGAAUCACUGGGCGUAAAGGGUGCGUAGGCGGCUUCUUAAGUCUGGUGUGAAAGCCCAGGGCUCAGCUCUGGAAGUGCACUAGAAACUGAGGAGCUUGAGUACCGGAGGGGAGAGUGGAAUUCCUGGUGUAGCGGUGAAAUGCGUAGAUAUCAGGAGGAAUACCGGUGGCGAAAGCGACUCUCUGGACGGUUACUGACGCUGAGGCACGAAAGCGUGGGGAGCAAACAGG